UACGAAGGGGGCUAGCGUUGCUCGGAAUCACUGGGCGUAAAGCGCACGUAGGCGGACUCUUAAGUCGGUGGUGAAAUCCUGGAGCUCAACUCCAGAACUGCCUUCGAUACUGAGAGUCUCGAGUCCGGGAGAGGUGAGUGGAACUGCGAGUGUAGAGGUGAAAUUCGUAGAUAUUCGCAAGAACACCAGUGGCGAAGGCGGCUCACUGGCCCGGAACUGACGCUGAGGUGCGAAAGCAUGGGGAGCGAACAGG
rnacentral:rRNA from 1 species